AGCGAACGUUAGCGGCGGGCUUAACACAUGCAAGUCGAGCGAGAACGGGGCAACCCUAGUACAGCGGCGGACGGGUGAGUAACACGUAGGUAACUUUCCCUUGAGCGGGGGACAACGGUCCGAAAGGACCGCUAAUACCGCAUACGUUCUUCUGGUCUUAGGGCUGGGAGAGGAAAGCUAGGCUAGCAAUAGUCCGGCACUCAAGGAGAGGCCUGCGUAGCAUCAGCUAGUUGGUGGGGUAAUGGCCUACCAAGGCAAAGACGCUUAGCUGGUCUGAGAGGAUGAUCAGCCACACUGGGACUGAGACACGGCCCAGACUCCUACGGGAGGCAGCAGUGGGGAAUAUUGGACAAUGGGCGCAAGCCUGAUCCAGCCACGCCGCGUGAGUGAUGAAGGCCUUGGGUCGUAAAGCUCUGUGGGGA
rnacentral:rRNA from 1 species